rnacentral:rRNA from 1 species
CCAGACUCCUACGGGAGGCAGCAGUGGGGAAUAUUGCGCAAUGGGCGAAAGCCUGAUGCAGCAACGCCGCGUGAGUGAAGAAGUCAUUCGUGAUGUAAAGCUCUAUCAGCAGGGAAGAAAAUGACGGUACCUGAGUAAGAAGCCCCGGCUAACUACGUGCCAGCAGCCGCGGUAAUACGUAGGGGGCGAGCGUUAUCCGGAUUCACUGGGUGUAAAGGGAGCGUAGACGGCCAUGCAAGCCAGGGGUGAAAGCCCGGGGGCCAACCCCGGGACUGCCCUUGGAACUGCAUGGCUGGAGUGCGGGAGGGGCAGGCGGAAUUCCUGGUGUAGCGGUGAAAUGCGUAGAUAUCAGGAGGAACACCGGCGGCGAAGGCGGCCUGCUGGACCGCGACUGACGUUGAGGCUCGAAAGCGUGGGGAGCGAACAGGAUUAGAUACCCUCGUAAUA